GUUUCAGUUGUUUUUGUUCCUUCUGUCAAGCAUUCCAGCUUUUUCCUGGUGUUAGUGUUCCUGGUUUUUAAGUCCUUGCACAUGUGUUUUUCAGCCUGCCUUUGCCCAGCCCUUUUGAAUUGUUUGCCUGGCCGCCUGCCUCUCUGUGUGCCCACCUGAUUUUUUUGUAUUUGCUGGCUGGUGCCUGUGUUGCGCGCUGGAGUCCAACCUUCCUGUGUUCAGUUGUUAUCAAAAACACUGAUUUGAAAACAAAAAACAGAUGCCUUUCCCUCUGUGUUGUUGCCAUCUUCUGUUUCACAGAGGAGAAAGGUGAAAUUACAGCCCAGUCGGCCGGAUAAAAUGUUGGCACAAUGCCACCAGUGUGGCGGGACCAGGCUGCAGCGGAAUGGCAGGGAGAAGACAGAAGUACUAACAGACAUACAAUUGGCCUCAAGCUGUGCUGCAGGAAUGAACACGAGGCAGUGAUUAAUCUGGGGGACUUUUAUUUAUAAAUCUACAAUAAAGUUGCAUGAAAAGACUUUCCAAAGCAGUUGCAAAAGUUAGUUGUUUAUUCAUGAGUUCACACAGCCUUUGUGUUACGCAAGCUCUGCACCUGAAUUAUUAAUUAUUCAGUGAUUGUCCUAAUAAUCUUGUGAAUUGUCUUUUCAUGCGGUUUAAUGGCAAAGUGAUCUUGUAUGCUGUUAGACCACACAGAGCUGAUGAAAAGCUUAAAGG